rnacentral:tRNA from 1 species
GCCGAGGUGGCUUAGCUGGUUAUAGCGCCCGGCUCAUACGGACCUUCCCCAGCAUUCCGCUGGGGUCCUGGGAAACCGGGAGGUCGGGGGUUCGAAUCCCCCCCUCGGCA